AUGAGUGACCUCGGGGGCCUGGUAGUGGACAUUAGCUGGUCUCCGGGUCAGAAGUGGCCCUUCUGCUCUGAACAGCAGGAGCUACAAAUCUGGUCUCACGUCCCCUCCUGCUGCAGGCGGGGCUGGCCCCCCCGGAACGGAAUCCGGGAGGGGAGGCAGACACACAGCCCGGGCUCCUUGAAAAUACAGAAACAUGGUAACGUGGAAACGCAGCUCGCUCCCAACCGCACGUACGCGAACGAAUGUUUGACUUCAGACCCUGUCAUUCGCCCUGUGAAUAUGGCCCUAUGGGGACGGUCGGCUGGAAGUCUCAGCCGAGGGCAGGACGCCCUGCCCAGGCCUCCCACCGAGACUCCAGGCUGGCUGUCUCCACCCGCUUCCCCCGAUGAGGCUGGGUGUUGAUACGAGAAUCUAGAAUAUCCCCUAGAGCACACGGAGUGCGAGAGAAUCGAAGAAGCAGAUCACAACUGGGACUGAAAGGAGGAUAUUAGCGAAGACUCCUCUCCAAAUCCAGUCGGGGUGACUGCUCUCCAGUGGUGUCUGGGAGACACGGCUCCUUCCAACCCGUGGCUCAUCCAUCUAUAGGUUACAGCUGCCAACAGCACCCUGCGGUUGGUCUCUAAUCAAGAGUCUGAAGAGGAGAAGGGUGUGGAGUACUGCGAAGUGAUCGGUGGUUAUGCGUCAAGUCUGGAAGUACUGAGAAGUGAUCGGUGGUUAUGCGUCAAGUCUGGAAGCGCACACAACACUUUUGUUCACCUUCUACAAAACAGAACUCAGUCUCUCGGCCAUACACACCGACCGGCAGACCUUACCAAGAGUCUGACCUCGACUCCAGGGAAAAGAGGAAAGAGAUUGUAGUAAACCUGUAAUCGUCUCUGACACGGACGCUUUGCUGACUAUCACUACGCCUGGCCCAUUUCCCCUUCCCGCCAUGUCUCCGGGGCCAGCAUCCAUCUCUGGACUGGGUUGGUGUUGCGUUAUUAAGACAGUAAUGAACCAAUGCAGCAACUUCAGCAUUGAACCAACUGUUAAAAUCAUGUGCAAGUCAAAUGAUUCUGAUGAUUAGGAAGCAUGUCAGUGCAAGAAAUGUAAUAACUGAGGUAAUUUUUGUUACUACUUUUUAAACAAACUUCACUGCAGUCUCUUAUAUACCAUCGACUACACAGAAUCUAAAUGUACACCUUGGUGAGUUUUGACAAUUGUGUUUCCAUGUUACUCCCACCCUAACCAAGACACAGAAUAUUUCCAUCACUCCAAAAAGUUCCUUUAGGCUCCUCUGAGGUCAAUUUAGUAAGACCUAAAUAAAUGGGAGAGACGUACUGUAUUUAUGGACUGG
rnacentral:lncRNA from 1 species